rnacentral:rRNA from 1 species
CCUACGGGUGACAGCAGUGAGGAAUAUUGGUCAAUGGACGAGAGUCUGAACCAGCCAAGUAGCGUGAAGGAUGACUGCCCUAUGGGUUGUAAACUUCUUUUAUAUGGGAAUAAAACGUUCCACGUGUGGGAUUUUGUAUGUACCAUAUGAAUAAGGAUCGGCUAACUCCGUGCCAGCAGCCGCGGUAAUACGGAGGAUCCGAGCGUUAUCCGGAUUUAUUGGGUUUAAAGGGAGCGUAGGUGGAUUGUUAAGUCAGUUGUGAAAGUUUGCGGCUCAACCGUAAAAUUGCAGUUGAAACUGGCAGUCUUGAGUACAGUAGAGGUGGGCGGAAUUCGUGGUGUAGCGGUGAAAUGCUUAGAUAUCACGAAGAACUCCGAUUGCGAAGGCAGUUCACUGGACUGCAACUGACACUGAGGCUCGAAAGUGUGGGUAUCAAACAGGGUUAGAUACCCUUGUAGUC